rnacentral:rRNA from 1 species
GAUGAACGCUGGCGGCGUGCCUAAUACAUGCAAGUCGAGCGAACAGACGAGGAGCUUGCUCCUCUGACGUUAGCGGCGGACGGGUGAGUAACACGUGGAUAACCUACCUAUAAGACUGGGAUAACUUCGGGAAACCGGAGCUAAUACCGGAUAAUAUAUUGAACCGCAUGGUUCAAUAGUGAAAGACGGUUUUGCUGUCACUUAUAGAUGGAUCCGCGCCGCAUUAGCUAGUUGGUAAGGUAACGGCUUACCAAGGCAACGAUGCGUAGCCGACCUGAGAGAGUGAUCGGCCGCACUGGAACUUGAACACGGUCCAUGCUCCUGCGGGAGGCAGCAGUAGGGAAUCUUCCGCAAUGGGCGAAAACCUGACGGAGCAACGCCGCGUGAGUGGUAGAGGUCUUCGGAUCGUAAAACUCUGUUAUUAGGGAAAAACAAAUGUGUAAGUAGCUGUGCACGUCUUGACGGUACCUAGUCAGAAAGCCACGGCUAACUACGUG